GUCUGCGAAACGACAAGAAGUGUGUUUUUUAAGUUCGAUUAUUUCGAUUUUUAUAGUUUAUUCUACGGUCUGAAACAAAGCAGAAGUAAAGGAUAAAGGAACAAGAUGUACAAAAUAAUGACUAUAGAUCUGGUUUUAUAUGCUGUGAUAAUGCCUGAAUUUCCUUUGGGACUCUUCUUGAUUUUUAUGUUGCUUUCCUUUUUAAAUCCGUUCAUAAAGUACGCCGGCAUUUUACUCUAUUUUCUUUGGAAGACCUACAUACUCCCAUAUGUUAUAUAAUAAAUGGCCAAACUGGACAAUUAAGAUUCCGAACAGGAUGUUCAUCCCCAUAUUUAACUUUGUAUCCAGUACUCAAUUCAGAUCAACAAACUUUAACAUGCAGUUUAAAUUACUAUUAACUCCUCUUUUAAAACUGUCCUUGCCUAAGAUUUAAUUUCCAUAAACCAAAAUAUAUAUUUUGAUUUUGCUUAUCUAAAAAAAAACAAUAAAUUAAAUAAAAGACAUCUCUCUUUACGAAGUUCAGAGCGGCAAACAAAUUUAUACAAACA